UACAGAGGGUGCAAGCGUUGUUCGGAAUCAUUGGGCGUAAAGCGCACGUAGGCGGCUUUGCAAGUCAGGUGUGAAAGCCCGGGGCUCAACCCCGGGAGGCGGGUGGAUACUGUCAAGCUCGAGUCCGGAAGAGGAGUGUGGAAUUCCUGGUGUAGCGGUGAAAUGCGCAGAUAUCAGGAGGAACACCAAUGGCGAAGGCAGCACUCUGGGACGUGACUGACGCUGAGACGCGAAAGCGUGGGGAGCAAACAGG
rnacentral:rRNA from 1 species